GUAACAUUGCUGAGAGUCUGGCACAGACCAUUUAUCGUCUGAGUUAACCUUUCACACCGUUUUUUGAUAAAGUUGCUCUUGCCUUAUUCAGACAGCAUCAUUUUUUCUCUUCUUUGUGAGGAGAAUCUGGGACCAAAUGUUUGCUGAGGCCAUGCCAAAAAUGAAGAGAAGGGAAAAAAAUAAUGAAUUCCUGAAGAGCAAGCUAAAAUCAACAUGGCAAUGAAGCAGGAUCUUAAUUACUGAGUGUCUGCUGGUGAAGCUGCGUUCGUUCAUUUAACCCAGCACACUCUGUAGUGGAGUCCUGCUGCUGCCACACCUAAGAAAUGUGAACUGCCAGAAGUACUCCUCUUUUACAUUAGACAAGAU
rnacentral:lncRNA from 1 species